rnacentral:rRNA from 1 species
AUUGAACGCUGGCGGCAUGCCUUACACAUGCAAGUCGAACGGUAACAGGUCUUCGGAUGCUGACGAGUGGCGAACGGGUGAGUAAUACAUCGGAACGUGCCCGAUCGUGGGGGAUAACGCAGCGAAAGCUGUGCUAAUACCGCAUACGAUCUACGGAUGAAAGCGGGGGAUCGCAAGACCUCGCGCGGACGGAGCGGCCGAUGGCAGAUUAGGUAGUUGGUGGGAUAAAAGCUUACCAAGCCGACGAUCUGUAGCUGGUCUGAGAGGACGACCAGCCACACUGGGACUGAGACACGGCCCAGACUCCUACGGGAGGCAGCAGUGGGGAAUUUUGGACAAUGGGGGAAACCCUGAUCCAGCCAUGCCGCGUGCAGGAUGAAGGCCUUCGGGUUGUAAACUGCUUUUGUACGGAACGAAAGGUACCUUUCUAACUAAAGAGGGCGUCAUGACGGUACCGUAAGAAUAAGCACCGGCUAACUACGUGCCAGCAGCCGCGGUAAGGACCG